rnacentral:rRNA from 1 species
GACAGAGGUGGCAAGCGUUGUUCGGAUUUACUGGGCGUAAAGAGUGCGUAGGUGGUUCGGUAAGACCUGUGGGAAAGCCCAGGGCUUAACCCUGGAAGGUCGCAGGUGACUGCCGGGCUAGAGGACGGGAGAGGAGAGCGGAAUUCCCGGUGUAGCGGUGAAAUGCGUAGAUAUCAAGAGGAACACCUGCGGCGAAGGCGGGUUGCUGGGCUGACACUGACGCUGAUGCGCGAAAGCCAGGGGAGCGAACGGG